rnacentral:lncRNA from 1 species
CCCUAGGUGCUUCAUAUGCACACAUUAUACUCGAACUCCCUACUCAUGAAUUCGUCAAAAACUAACCAUUCUCUACGCAGUAUAAUCAUCAAGUCUAUAUAACGAAAUCUUUACAACUCGUUUUACAAUUCAACCAUAUCAAUGUAGCAAAUGAAAAAGAACCAAAAAAAAUUUAUAUUUACUACAAAGACAUAAAAUGAAUGAAUAUUUCGUAUAAUUUAACAUACAUCCAGCUUCCUGUUAAUUCACUUCUCCUAAGUAUGGUUCCACUGGCUGGGGUUUUGAUUAUGUCUUAUGUCCUACUGCAUAUAUAAAUGACAUACAAUGAGCAUACUCUAACCCAGUAAAAUAAAUUCAAGACUCAAAUAAAGUAUGGAAAUACAUUUAAACUUCUAGCCCAGUGCUAAGUCUACACCUACAUCCUAAUGUCUCUCUCGUCAUUUUCUCUUUUUGUAACCCUAUUUUAUCACUCAUUGGUUUACUCUACAACCAACCCGAGCCCUUGUCAAUAUUACUACCACUUGCCAACCCACUCAUCCAUACACUUACUGGACACCUAUUGCACUUACCAACUCCCUACACCAACUCCUUCAUCAUUCCACACACUAAGAAAACCCUUAAUAUCUCAUUUUACCUAAAAAUCUCACACCACAAAGAGCAUUCCUAUAAUGGCAUAGUCAAAAUAGAAACAUAAUAUCUUUGUUGCACACAUAAGGACCUUUAUUUGGCCAUAUAUACACCUACUCUAGUCCUAGCCAUUUUCAACCCUAUGCCACCCACCCAUAUAUACCUCAAAUAACAAUACUGCCCCCAACUAUCACACGCUCCUUUAGCACUACCGGCCUUAACUUUGUCACACACUCACCAACCUUAAUCCAGCCACACACAUAACCCGACCUUAACCAACCACACACACACACUCAUCGGCCUUAAUCAGCCACAUACACACCCUCGUCAGCCUUAAUUUCUACCACACACACUCACCGACUUCAAUCAGCCACACACACACCAGCAGUAUACAUACACUACCCAACUCCAACAAAACAUCACCAUAAAAUACACAAUACACACACAUCUACCAUCCUCAGCUCGGCCACAUACACAAUCAGCCAAUAACAUUAGUAUCGGCGCCACAACCUCCUAUCUGUCAUCACCAAUAUCAGCACACCAACAUUCACCUCCACCGGUACCAAUAUCGGCACCUCAGAGUGUCCAACCAGUAAAAUUGCCCAAAUUCCGCUAUACAACUCAACCUAAAUCCAUUUCGGUCGAUUCCCUUCCUUCUCUCUCACUUCCACUCGGUUCACUCACCAUUCCUCAUAUCUCUACUUCCUAACAACUUGAAAUCCUCCAUUAAGCAACCUGAACAGAAAUUCAAACCAUGUCACCAUAACAAUGUUGGAGCAUUCGAAUUUAUUUACCUCUAGCCUCCAUCUUCUCC